rnacentral:rRNA from 1 species
AACAAGGAUUCCCUUAGUAACUGCGAGUGAAGAGGGAAAAGCUCAAAUUUAAAAUCUGGCAGUGUUUCAUUGUCCGAGUUGUAACCUAGAGAAGUGUAACCUGUGCUGGACCGUGUACAAGUCUCCUGGAAUGGAGCAUCACAGAGGGUGAGAAUCCCGUCUUUGACACGGACUACCAGUGCAUUGUGGUUGUGCUCUCAACGAGUCGAGUUGUUUGGGAAUGCAGCUCUAAAUGGGUGGUAAAUUCCAUCUAAAGCUAAAUAUUGGCGAGAGACCGAUAGCGAACAAGUACCGUGAGGGAAAGAUGAAAAGAACUUUGGAAAGAGAGUUAAACAGUAUGUGAAAUUGUUGAAAGGGAAACGUUUGAAGUCAGUCGUGUUGGCUGGGGAUCAACCUGACUUAUUGUUAGGUGUAUUUCCUGGUUGACGGGCCAACAUCAGUUUUGACUGCCAGAAAAAGGCCAAGGGAAUGUGGCACCUUUGGGUGUGUUAUAGCUUUUGGUCGUAUGUGGUGGUUGGGACUGAGGACAGCAGUGCGCCGCAAUGGCAGGGUUUCGACCACAUUCGCACUGAGGAUGUUGGCAUAAUGGCUUUAAGCGACCCGUCUUGAAACACGGACCAAGGAGUCUAACAUGCAUGCGAGUGUUUGGGUGGAAAACCCUUACGCGUAAUGAAAGUGAAAGUUGAGAUCCCUGUCGUGGGGAGCAUCGACGCCCGGACCAGAACUUUUGGGACGGAUCUGCGGUAGAGCACGUAUGUUGGGACCCGAAAGAUGGUGAACUAUGCCUGAAUAGGGUGAAGCCAGAGGAAACUCUGGUGGAGGCUCGUAGCGAUUCUGACGUGCAAAUCGAUCGUCAAAUUUGGGUAUAGGGGCGAAAGACUAAUCGAACCAUCU